UACGAGUGCCCCAAGCGUUAUCCGGAAUCAUUGGGUUUAAAGGGUCCGUAGGCGGUUUUGUAAGUCAGUGGUGAAAGCCCAUCGCUCAACGGUGGAACGGCCAUUGAUACUGCAAGACUUGAAUUAUUGGGAAGCAACUAGAAUAUGUAGUGUAGCGGUGAAAUGCUUAGAUAUUACAUGGAAUACCAAUUGCGAAGGCAGGUUGCUACCAAUACAUUGACGCUGAUGGACGAAAGCGUGGGGAGCGAACAGG
rnacentral:rRNA from 1 species